UACGUAGGGUGCAAGCGUUAAUCGGAAUUACUGGGCGUAAAGCGUGCGCAGGCGGUGAUGUAAGACAGUUGUGAAAUCCCCGGGCUCAACCCGGGAAGUGCAUUGGAAACUGCGAGACUAGAGUCCCGGAGAGGAAGGUGGAAUUCCAGGUGUAGCGGUGAAAUGCGUAGAUAUCUGGAAGAACACCGGUGGCGAAGGCGGCCUUCUGGACGGUGACUGACGCUGAGACGCGAAAGCGUGGGGAGCAAACAGG
rnacentral:rRNA from 1 species